rnacentral:rRNA from 1 species
UACGUAGGUCCCGAGCGUUGUCCGGAUUUGUUGGGCGUAAAGCGAGCGCAGGUGGUUUAUUAAGUCUGGUGUAAAAGGCAGUGGCUCAACCAUUGUAUGCAUUGGAAACUGGUAAACUUGAGUGCAGGAGAGGAGAGUGGAAUUCCAUGUGUAGCGGUGAAAUGCGUAGAUAUAUGGAGGAACACCGGUGGCGAAAGCGGCUCUCUGGCCUGUAACUGACACUGAGGCUCGAAAGCGUGGGGAGCAAACAGG